GUAGCAGCACGCUUUUCAGUGCGACGGUUGCCACCAUUGGCAACACCGGCGUUGUUGCCCAGGUAUCACCUUGGCGUUUUACAGAGACGCAAUGAAAAGCGGAGACCAAUUCGCUUGGAAGUGCACCCUGUGUGUUGCAGCUAUGCCAGUGCUAAGGGAUCCAACUGCCAAUGGAGAACCGGUUUCACCAAGAGACCCAAGUGUGACCGGCCAGACUUAAAUUCCUGUAAUUAUGCUGCCAGGUCCCGUCUGUAAAAUAUUUCUUUGUCGAUGUCUGAUAUUUUUAGCAUAAACAGCGAUGCGAAAGUUGUCGGAGCAUGCGAGCGCCCUCUUGUGUUUUCCGUUGAAUAGAGCAUACAUAGUUGCGUAACAAUUUGCAUAUGACAUGCAGUGCGAAAAAGCCUUUUAUUCCGUGCAGUGUCUCAAAAGCAUAGGGCUUCGGACGCACAUUCCGUGAAUUUUUCACU